GCGGCGCAGGAAAGUUUCCCGGGACGCCGCGAGCCGAGCGGAGCCGAGCGGCCGCCGGGGGAGGCAGCGGGACCCCCCCCGGCAUCGGGACCCCCCAGCAUCAGGACCCCCCCCCGGCAUCGGGACCCCCCCCGGCUGCCCCUGCCCCCGCUGCCAGGAGGAAGCGGCGCUCGGCGAGGGGGGGCUGCGGCCUGCGGGGGGGCCCAGGCGUCCGGGCAGCCCCCGCCUCAUAGCGAAACAGGAAGGGGGAAUGGGGAACCGGAGCCGCCCCCCUCCCACCCCCCCGGCAGCCGCCUCCAGCCCCCCCGCGCUGCAUGGUCUGUCCGUGACCCCCCCGGCCCGGCCGGGGCCUUGGGGACCUGGGGGGGGGGGCGACCCCAAGGACCCCGUGCAAACACAGCUCCUGGGGGGCCAUCGCGUCCCUGCCGGGGGGUGAUGCUGGCUGCGGGGGGGCCGGGCUGUGGGCUGCCCCCGCUCUCAGGGUGCCCCAGCCCCCCCACGUCCCCCCCCCCGGCUCAGCUCGGCCCUGGGGACUUUCCGUGUGGUUCGGCCGGGGGGGGGGUGACACGGGGCCGAGCGUCACUACGGCCUUGGGGACACGGGCGCCAACACGGGGGGGGCCGGACGCCUGGACAGGGCAGGAACCCCCGGCGGCUUUGCACCACCCUGGGGCGUCACGAGCUGGCGAGGGCUCAGCCCCGUGCGACACCCGUGCGACACCUGUGCAAGGUCCGUGCACCCCGGGCAAGGUCCGUGCGCCCCGUGUGACAUCCGUGCGCCCCGUGUGACAUCCGUGCGCCCCGUGCAAGGCUGACAGGCCCCGUGCAAGGUCUGUGCACCCCGUGCAAGGUCUGUGCGCCCUGUGUGACAUCCGUGUGCCCCGUGCAAGGCUGACGGGCCCCGUGCAAGGUCUGUGCACCCCGUGUGACAUCCGUGUGCCCCGUGCAAGGCUGACGGGCCCCGUGCAAGGUCCGUGCGCCCCGUGUGACAUCCGUGCACCCCGUGCGACAUCCGUGUGCCCCGUGCAAGGCUGACGGGCCCCAUGCGACAUCCACACACCUGUGCAAGGCCAGCACGUCUUGUGCAACCCCCGCACACCCUGUAUGACACCGGCAUCCGUGUGCGAGGCUAGUGCAAGGCCUGCACGCGCCGUGCCACCCCGCCACGCCUCGUGCAACGCCCAUGUGCCCCGUGCAGCACCCCCGUGCCCCGUGCAACACCCCCGUGCCCCAUGCAAGGCCGGCGGCCCGCGCGACGCCCGUGCGACACUUGUGCGCGGCACCGUCCGCAGCCGCGGGCUUGCGCAAGCGGGGCCGGGCCGGGCGCAGGCUGAGCCGCGGCGCAUUCCUGGGAGGCCGCGGGGGUGGCGGAGCGGGAAGGCAUUUCCUGCCGCGGGGCCGCGCCGGGCCCUGCCGCCGCCACUGCCGCCACCGCCGCCGCUCCGGGGCCCCGGCCGGGCACGGCCCCCACGGUGCACGGGGUCGGCGCGGUGCACGAGUGCAUGAGGUCGGUGCGGUGCACGGUGGUGCGCGGUGGUGCACGAGGUCGGUGCAGUGCACGGGGUCAGCGCGGUGCACGGGGUUGGCACGGUGCACGAGUGCAUGGUGGUGCACGAGGUCGGUGCAGUGCACGAGGUCGGUGCGGUGCACGGCAGUGCAGGAGGUCGGCGCGGUGCACACGCCUGCGCGCUGCCCAGCCCCGUGCGCCACGUCGGGGCGCCGGCCCCCUCCCUCGGCGGGGUGAGGCCCCCCGUGCCUUGCACGUGGCACACGCCGUGCACACGCCUGCACACACACCGCACGCACCCCUUGCAGCGGCCGUGCAUAGCUGUGGUGCAUUGCACACGCCUUGCACACGCUUGCACAUGCGCCAUGCACACGCACCCCCUGCAGUGGCCCAGCCUCGCCCCGGCACGUUGCACAUGGCACACGCCAUGCACACGCCAUGCACAUGCUUGCACACGCCAUGCACGCACCAUGCACAUGCCAUGCACACGCUUGCACACGCGCCCACCGGGACCUGCUGCUGCCGCAGCACGGCGCAGGGCCCACAGCGGACAGAGCCCCACUGCCGCGGUUGGCACCGGGGGGGGCCCCGGCCGUGGGGAGGCACUGGGGACCCUGGGAACCCCAUGGGGACCCCCAGCCGGGCCCGGGGGUGGCAGUCGCCCCGGCGGGGGGGGCCCCGUCCCCGUCCCCGUCCCUGUCCCCGGGGCGGUGGCAGCCGCAGGCCCGGCCCGCCCGGCACCGAGGGAGCGCGGCGGGAACUGGCUGUGCUCCCGGCGCGGUGACGCUGCGCGGCCCCCGGCCAGCGGGGCCCCGUCCAGGGCCAGCACCGCUCCCGCCGCCCCUCCCGGCCCCACGGCCCCACCCGGCCCCGCCGCAGCCCUGGCGCCAGGGGGAGAGGGGGGCACGCGACCCCCCCCCCCCACCCUGCUGCCUGCCGGGCCGGCGGGGCACGCGCACGUGCACACGUGCACCCUUUGCACCCGUGCAGCCUUGCACCCAUGCACGCGUGUACCCGUGCCUCCUUUGCAGCCGUGCAUCCCGUCUUCCACGCGCCCGUGCCCCCUUCGCACCGGUGCAGCUCUGCAGCCGUGCGUUAUGCGCCCUCGCGCCUGUGCGCGCUUGCACCCGCGCAGCCGUGCAGCCGCGUCCCCUGCACGUCCGGGCACCCAUGAAUCCAUGCACCCAUGCAGCCGGGCACCGUUGCACCCGCACAGCCGUGCAGCCGCGUCCCCUGCACGUCCAGGCACCCAUGAAUCCAUGCACCCAUGCAGCCGGGCACCGUUGCAGCCGCGCAGCCGUGCAGCCACGUCCCCUGCACGUCCGGGCACCCGCGCAGCCGGGCACCGUUGCACCCAUGUGUCCAUGCACCGUUGCACCCGCGCGUCCAUGCAGCCGCCCGUCGCCGCACGCGGGCAGCGAGGAGCUGCAAACGCGGCAGUGCUGGCGUCACCCCGGAGCUGCCCACGGUCGGGGCCGCAGUGGCAGUUUGCUUUAGGUGUCCCGAGCCCCCCCGGCCCCCCUGGCCCCCCCGGCGCAGGCCCUGCCCCGGCCGGGCUGUGCCGCGUUGCACCGCGCCAAGCUGCACCGUGCUGCGCCGACCCCGCCGUCCCCCCCCCCCCCCGCAGCCCCGUUUCCCCCUGCUUUCACCCCGUUUCACAGCUGCUGCCCGCGGGGCCCCGAGCCCAGGCAGACGCGGGAGCCGGCCCCACAACCAGCCCCACAAACGGCCCCACAACCGGCCCCACAACCGGCCCCACAACCAGCCCCACAACCGGCCCCACAACUGGCCGGGGAUUUCUGCUGUGCUUAAAUUGCAAAACUUAAUAAAAACCCACCCCCCCACCCCAGCUGAGCUGCCGCAGCCGGCGGGCGGGGGCUCCUCUCCGGUUAUUUGA